rnacentral:rRNA from 1 species
AUUGAACGCUGGCGGCAUGCUUUACACAUGCAAGUCGAACGGUAACAGGCCGCAAGGUGCUGACGAGUGGCGAACGGGUGAGUAAUGCAUCGGAACGUGCCCAGUCGUGGGGGAUAACGCAGCGAAAGCUGUGCUAAUACCGCAUACGAUCUAUGGAUGAAAGCGGGGGACCGUAAGGCCUCGCGCGAUUGGAGCGGCCGAUGUCAGAUUAGCUAGUUGGUGGGGUAAAGGCCCACCAAGGCGACGAUCUGUAGCUGGUCUGAGAGGACGACCAGCCACACUGGAACUGAGACACGGCCCAGACUCCUACGGGAGGCAGCAGUGGGGAAUUUUGGACAAUGGGCGCAAGCCUGAUCCAGCAAUGCCGCGUGCAGGAAGAAGGCCUUCGGGUUGUAAACUGCUUUUGUACGGAACGAAACGGUCUGGGUUAAUACCCUGGGCUAAUGACGGUACCGUAAGAAUAAGCACCAGCUAACUACGUGCCAGCAGCCGCAGUAA